rnacentral:rRNA from 1 species
UACGGGGGGGGCAAGCGUUGUUCGGAAUUACUGGGCGUAAAGGGCUCGUAGGUGGCCAACUAAGUCAGACGUGAAAUCCCUCGGCUUAACCGGGGAACUGCGUCUGAUACUGGAUGGCUUGAGUGUGGGAGAGGGAUGCGGAAUUCCAGGUGUAGCGGUGAAAUGCGUAGAUAUCUGGAGGAACACCGGUGGCGAAGGCGGCAUCCUGGACCAUUACUGACACUGAAUAGCGAAAGCCAGGGGAGCAAACGGGG